rnacentral:rRNA from 1 species
UGGGGAAUAUUGGACAAUGGGCGCAAGCCUGAUCCAGCCAUGCCGCGUGAGUGAUGAAGGCCCUAGGGUUGUAAAGCUCUUUCACCGGUGAAGAUAAUGACGGUAACCGGAGAAGAAGCCCCGGCUAACUUCGUGCCAGCAGCCGCGGUAAUACGAAGGGGGCUAGCGUUGUUCGGAUUUACUGGGCGUAAAGCGCACGUAGGCGGACUAUUAAGUCAGGGGUGAAAUCCCGGGGCUCAACCCCGGAACUGCCUUUGAUACUGGUAGUCUUGAGUUCGAGAGAGGUGAGUGGAAUUCCGAGUGUAGAGGUGAAAUUCGUAGAUAUUCGGAGGAACACCAGUGGCGAAGGCGGCUCACUGGCUCGAUACUGACGCUGAGGUGCGAAAGCGUGGGGAGCAAACUGG